CUCCCCGUACAUAGCUCACUGUGGCCAUCCCCGUAAGGUAGUCUUCCCCGUACAUAGCUCACUGUGGCCAUCCCCGUAAGGUACAACUCCCCGUACAAAGCUCACUGUGGCCAUCCCCGUAAGGUACACUUCCCCGUACAAAGCUCAUUGUGGCCAUCCCGGUAAGGUACACUUCCCCGUAAAAGCUCACUGUGGAGAAUCCCGUAAGGUACCCUUCCCCGUACACUGUCAUCCGUAUCUAACUGUGGUCAUCGCCGUAAGGUACCCUUCCCCGGACACUGCGAUCAGAGCUCACUGUUGCUAUCCCCGUAUGGUACCUUUCCUCGGACCACGUCAACCGUAUUUAACUGCAGGUAUUUUUCUUUUCGCUUCAUUCGAUCGUAUCAUGAUGAUCACUUGUAUUUAGUUUGUAAAUGUAUCCAUACGUGACAAUAGUAUGAUUCCUACCAUGUGUAAGGUCAUAUAUUUUAUACCGACUACCGACUUUAUCACCUUUCUUCCCAUUAUUUCCAGUUAUUUAAAAAAUACACAUAUGCUGGGUAACGUUAUGCAGCCUAUAUAGUGUAUUCCUUAAUCCUUCUAAUAUACGACAUUUGAUGAAAAGAGCUUAUUUUUGCGCGCCAGACAGUCAAAUAAUUGUAAGACUUCUUCCAAUACUUAAGGCAUAUAGUUCCAAGGCCAGAUUUUGUUAGAGCUUUAACAUUUGCAAAGCUUGUUGUGUAAGCGUUCUUUAUACAGUGUCUAUUUAGAACAUACUAAAAUACAAUAAAAUACAU